UCCAAUGGGUCCGAAUGAGGGUGGUC
rnacentral:sRNA from 1 species